rnacentral:misc_RNA from 1 species
AAUUCUCAAACCUUCUUGGUUUCUAUGACCAAGACGGCUUUGGACUCUGGAGGUCUUUUGCUGGCUUUGUGAAAAGUCAGCUCCUCUUAAAUGCAUUAGUGGGAUCCUCUUUGUCGAUCCUCAGGCGUUGAUAAGAUGUUUCUACGUCUUGGGAUUUGCUCUGAUUGAUGGGAACCCGCUUCUAACUGUCUCAGUAUAAGGAGACAUCGUUCGAGUUUUACUCGACCCACGAA